UGGCCAAAAAAAAAAAGGUUGUAGGAUUUAAACACCUUCAUUAAUGGGAACUUCGUGGGACUACACACACUUGAGGUCACUUCUUCCUAGGACUUUGGUGCUCUGAUGUUCAUGUGUCAUCCCACAAGAGCAGUGUUAGCUCCAUAUAUUCCAUGUAUGCAACCGUGUUGCCCAAAGUUGUGAACUCUAACACCAUUGUGUUUAUUUUUAUGAGAAUUAGGUCAAGAUUAGCCUAAGCAGAGGCAACAAAUAACUUCAGAUCACAAGCGAAAUGGGAAAUGAAAUGUGUUUUAUACAGAAUCUUUACAGAUGGAUUUUGCAAAGAACAGUUCAUUAACUGUAUGCCCAACUGGGAAUACAUUUUUAAUGAUUUGCAGGUAGUCUAGAGAAAAGCUAAAUUAAAAAAUUGCAGCCCCAACUGCUCCUCUAAAAUGGGCUAAGAACUAUAGCUAUGAAUUAAAAUAACUUGUGAAUUUUUCUAACCAAAAUAAAAAUACCAGUUAUGAAAUAUUUCUUUUACUCAUUGCCAAUUCUUUAAUAGUCCAUUAGGUAUUUCUAGGAGGUGGAGCAGUUGAAAUGAAAAUUGGAGCUCAGAAAUCUGAAAAGCCAAAAUUUUGGAUAAACUGGCUGAGGAGAGAUAGAACUGGGUUGAAAGGAGGCUUUUUCUGUGGUAGAUUUGCCUUCAAACUGGGCAUAUGUUUCAUUUGGAUAAGUCUUUGAAAGUUCCAGGAAUCACUGAAAAAAAGAGACUUGAAGGAACUUAGAACUAGUUUAAUUCUACUGCAGCCUAAGAGUAGGCCACUUAAUGGGGAAGGCAUUCAGUUGCUUCUAUAUGACUUAGCUAACUCCACUGUCCUUUGCAGAUUAAAAGCUGAGCAGCUCAACUUGAUUAAAGAAUCUGCUCUUUUAACCCACUCCUCCACUUGAGACCCUUGUUACUUGAAACUGGGUUUCUUAUAUGCUACUUCUCUUUUUCCUAACCCAGAAGUUAUUGAUUGAAUGUGUUGUUCUUUAUGUCAUUGUUUAUAGGGAAAGCUAGUCUUUAUCCUGUUUCAUUUCCACUUCCUAGGCCAACAUUUAAGAACAUUUAAAUCUUUCUGUUGCUUAUGCUGGACAUGCUGGUAAUAACAUGGUAAGUAGUUAUAUGAUGAGUAAUUGUGUGUCCAGCAGUAAAGCUGAAUAUAGUUUUAUUUGUAUAUAUUUUCCUCUAGGUGUUUCAUAGGAGUGAUUUUCAGUUCCCAGGUCCUUUUCAGAACUGGCCUUAAAAAAAAACCUCCAAAAACAAAACAAUACAAAAAUACCAAAAAACCCUUAACUACAAUGAAAGCAGUUCAUUUACAGGGACCCCUUCUUCUAUGACUCCACUUAUAACACAGAUGCUGGCAUGGUAUUUAUACCUACCUAAAAAGAAGAUGCACUCAUAUGUGGCGUUACUUCAUUAAGAACAACUCCCCCCAAAUUAUAACUUUUAUUUUUUUAUGACUGUUUCUUUAAAUAGCAGCCAUUCUUGGUUUCAUUUUUUAAAUAUCAAAGGAGUAAACCUAAAACAGGCACCUUCAGCUUUUUUGUACCUAGAGAUUUUAUUUUAGGAAAAAGUAAAAAAGAAAUCAAAUUUCCUUGAGGCAAAAAUUGGAAAUUUGACUUUAAUCAGGGUUCUUCAAACUACUAAUUACCUGAAGAAAAAAAUGAGAUAGAAUCAUGGAAUGUUAGUGCUAAACACUAUUUAGUUUGGUCUCUUUACUCAAGAGUCAGAGAAACUUGGGGCCCUAUUGGCCAGCCAGUUCUCUAGUAGGUUAUACAGAUGGGUAGCGGGAAGUCUGUGGGGAUUUCUCUCAAUUCAGAGUGAUUCUGUUGAACCCUGUGUGUUUGGUUGGAUUUGGCUUAGGAAGUGGUGAAAGAAGGGAGGCUAAGGAAAAACAACCCAUGACAGGUUUAUGGCCAGCUCGUUAAAUUAAAUCCUUUGCUUGACACUGUAUUGCUUUCUUUGCUGGGUGUGGAUUGACAGGUAUUGAUGAAAUGCCUUAGGUUCUAAUUCAAAAUGCUGGGUGACAAAAGUUGUAACUUUGACAGGUUGAGGUUAUCAACAAGCCGCAGGGUGAGUGUAGGGACUCCAGGCUGUAGCAGCCAUUAUACUGUCUGUAGUGAGCCUCUGUGCUUUAAUGGGGAUGCACUUGAUCUCUUCACCCCCAAAGAGUAGAUUAAGUGCUUCAGUAAAUAUGCCAUUAAGAUACUUCAUUGUACUAAGCCAUUAAUACACACCUCAGAUAGGCCUUCAGCCACCCAAGAAGCAUUUGAACGGCCUAGAAAAACACCUAAUGCUGUAUCUACUUUGACAUUUCAUUAUUAAAUACAAUUUCAAAAUUUUGGGAAGUAAUUUUUCUACUGCUUUGAAUAAAGUCAGAGUGGGGAAAAUAGCAAAUUCCUUUCCAAUCUACUCUAAAUGACUUCCUCUGCCACCACAUCACUUUGUGGUGGUCCUAACUACAUUAAUUCCUUGACCAUGGGCCUGAGUCAGGCUUAAGGUUUCAGAGUAUCUUUUUAGAACCAGCUAAGCUUCUGUAACAUUUCAUUUUCUUAUUGAAGAAGCUAAAUGAGAAGCAUUUUAGAGAUGUUUGCUAUGGUGUACUAUUUGUGUUUGUUCUCUGCUAUUUUAUUUCUUAUGUUUCUGGACAUAAUUCUUAACAAUAGUAGAAUAACAUGGUAAUAGAAUUAAUUUUAAACCACAUUGGACCCGGGAGAUCAUUUAACUCUUCAUUUUAUUUGUUUUUUAUUUUAUUUUAUUUUGUUUUUUGUUUUUUCUAGGACCGCACCUGUGGCAUAUGGAGGUUCCCAGACUAGGGGUUUAAUCGGAGCUGUAGCCACCGGCCUAUGACAGAGCCACAGUAAUGCAGGAUCUGAGCCACGUCUGCGACCUACACCACGGCUCACGGCAACGCUGAAUCCUUAACCCACUGAGCAAGGCUAGGGAUUGAACCCGAAACCUCAUGGUUCCUAGUUGGAUUUGUUAACCACUGAGCCAUGAUGGGAGCUCCCUAACUCUUUAUUUUAGAGGUGAAGAAAUUGUAGGUAAAAAAUGUGAAGGUACUGUUAUUUGUGUUGCCUUUGUGGUCUUAAAGAAAUUUGGUAGCUACAGCUUAAUUCUUUUCUUAAAACUAUAAACUUAUUUAUCCUCUCUAAUCCCUCGUCAUGAUUUGGUUUUCAUCACCUCUUAGUGAUUGAUAUGACAUUUUGGUUAAGAAAACUUAGGUACAAAAAAAUUAUUUUCACAAAGUCAGAGAUCAAGAUUAGGUAGAGGAAAAACCUGGUGUUGAAUUCUGGGGUGCUAGUCCUGAGGAAAAGCCC
rnacentral:lncRNA from 1 species